CACACACACACACACACACACACACACACACACACAAAUACAGUUGGGCUGCCCUCUUUCACCAGCCCACCUCUGCCCAUUAGGUAGCCAUGGUCCAUUCUUCCAGGAGGCCAGUGAGGGGUCAGGUCAGCUCCCUAGGCCCUCCUAUCAGUACGGUCAUAGCAGCUGAGUGGCCAUAGGCAGGAUCCUGCUUUUAACUAUAUCUGAUGGAACAUUCCCACUGUAACGGUCCCUUCUUGGCUCCAGAAUACCUCCAGAUGGAUCUCUGGUGGACUACAAGACAGUUUCUAACAUGAUGACAGGGAAAGUGAUACAUGGCAAAUUACCAUAUCAGAGACGCAGACGUUCUCCCAGAGUGAUCGGAUGUGAAUUCCCUAUGUCCCAACUUUUGUCCUAGAAAUAAAGAGGGCAGGCUGCGGAGGGCCCUCACAGCUUUAAAACUGCAACAAGAAGCAGUUGUCAACGUGGAGGACAGAUGCUUAACACUUAAGGCCAAGGAAGAAGGCAAUGAGAAAUGGAUAUGCCAGUUUAUUAAAAGCGUGACUGGGGUCAACCGAGGCUUCAGUGGAGUUAGCUAUCAGUGCUACAGGGAGACGGAAAAAUAGCCUUUUGUGAAGUCUGGAGAGAGGAAGGCAGUCAUUUCUCAGGCAGUUUCCUCGGCAGCCUCUGAUAGCUUCCCUGUGCCUGCUGAUAUACAGACCUUCUUCUCACAUCUGUACGUUGAUGGAUCUACGCUUUUUCUUCUGGGAUUUUUUGCACUGUUCCGUCAGUACGUUUAGGGCUAAAAUGUCUUUCUGUAUCUAGAGAUGGAGCUACUGAGCCUCAGUUGUGCUCUCUCUCUCUCUCUCUCUCUCUCUCUCUCUCUCU
rnacentral:sRNA from 1 species